CCUACGGGUGGCAGCAGUGGGGAAUAUUGCACAAUGGGGGAAACCCUGAUGCAGCGACGCCGCGUGAGUGAAGAAGUAAUUCGUUAUGUAAAGCUCUAUCAGCAGGGAAGAAAAUGACGGUACCUGAGUAAGAAGCCCCGGCUAACUACGGGCCAGCAGCCGCGGGAAUACGUAGGGGGCCAGCGUUAUCCGGAUUUACUGGGGGUAAAGGGAGCGUAGACGGCAGUGCAAGUCUGGAGUGAAAGGUGGGGGCUCAACCCCCGGACUGCUCUGGAAACUGGAGGGCUGGAGUGCAGGAGAGGUAAGUGGAAUGCGUGGUGUAGCGGUGAAAUGCGUAGAUAUUAGGAGGAACACCAGUGGCGAAGGCGGCUUACUGGACUGUAACUGACGUUGAGGCUCGAAAGCGUGGGGAGCAAACAGGAUUAGAUACCCCUGUAGUC
rnacentral:rRNA from 1 species